rnacentral:rRNA from 1 species
GACGAACGCUGGCGGCGUGCUUAACACAUGCAAGUCGAACGGAAAGGCCCUGCUUGCAGGGUACUCGAGUGGCGAACGGGUGAGUAACACGUGGGUGAUCUGCCCUGCACUUCGGGAUAAGCCUGGGAACUGGGGUUAAUUCCGGGUAGGGGCCCUUUUUUGGGGGGUUGGUGGGAAGGUUUUUCGGUGUAGGAAUAGCUCGCGGCCUAUCAGCCUGUUGGUGGGGUAAUGGCCUACCAAGGCGGCGACGGGUAGCCGGCCUGAGAGGGUGGACGGCCACAUUGGGACUGAGAUACGGCCCAGACUCCUACGGGAGGCAGCAGUGGGGAAUAUUGCACAAUGGGCGCAAGCCUGAUGCAGCGACGCCGCGUGGGGGAUGACGGCCUUCGGGUUGUAAACUCCUUUCGCUAGGGACGAAGCUUUUUGUGACGGUACCUAGAUAAGAAGCACCGGCUAACUACGUG